CAGCCAUGCCGCGUGUGUGAAGAAGGUCUUCGGAUUGUAAAGCACUUUAAGUUGGGAGGAAGGGUAGUAGCUUAAUACGUUGCUACUUUGACGUUACCGACAGAAUAAGCACCGGCUAACUCUGUGCCAGCAGCCGCGGUAAUACAGAGGGUGCAAGCGUUAAUCGGAAUUACUGGGCGUAAAGCGCGCGUAGGUGGUUAUGUAAGUUGAAUGUGAAAUCCCCGGGCUCAACCUGGGAACUNACUCCAAAACUGCAUGGCUAGAGUACGGUAGAGGGUGGUGGAAUUUCCUGUGUAGCGCGUGAAAUGCGUAGAUAUAGGAAGGAACACCAGUGGCGAAGGCGACCACCUGGACUGAUACUGACACUGAGGUGCGAAAGCGUGGGGACAAACAGGAUUAGAUACCCUGGUAGUCCACGCCGUAACGAUGUCAACUACCGUUGGGUUCCUUGAGACUUAAUGGCGCA
rnacentral:rRNA from 1 species